UACGUAGGGGGCUAGCGUUGUCCGGAAUCAUUGGGCGUAAAGCGUGCGCAGGCGGUUCGCUAAGACCGAUGUGAAAUCCCCGGGCUUAACCUGGGAACUGCAUUGGUGACUGGCGGGCUAGAGUAUGGCAGAGGGGGGUAGAAUUCCACGUGUAGCAGUGAAAUGCGUAGAUAUGUGGAGGAACACCGAUGGCGAAGGCAGCCCCCUGGGUCAAGACUGACGCUCAUGCACGAAAGCGUGGGGAGCAAACAGG
rnacentral:rRNA from 1 species